rnacentral:rRNA from 1 species
AGCAGCCGCGGUAAUUCCAGCUCCAAUAGCGUACAUUAAAGUUGUUGCAGUUAAAAAGCUUGUAGUUGAAUUUCGAGACCGGCUUACUGGUCGUGCUAUUGUACGUACUGGUAUAAUCGGUUUCUCCUUUCUGACGAACUAUAAUGCCAUUAAUUUGGUGUUUUAGGGAAUCAGGACUGUUACUUUGAAAAAAUUAGAGUGUUUAAAGCAGGCUCACGCUUGAAUACAUUAGCAUGGAAUAACGGAAUAGGACGUUUGAUCCUAUUUUGUUGGUUUCUAGGAUCGACGUAAUGAUUAAUAGGGAUAGUUGGGGGCAUUAGUAUUCAAUUGUCAGAGGUGAAAUUCUUGGAUUUAUUGAAGACUAACUACUGCGAAAGCAUUUGCCAAGGAUGUUUUCAUUAAUCAAGAACGAAAGUUAGGGGAUCGAAGACGAUCAGAUACCGUCGUAGUCUUAACCAUAAACUAUGCCGACUAGGGAUCGGAUGAUGUUAAUUUUUAAUGACUCAUUCGGCGCCUUACG